UGAGUUUGAUCCUGGCUCAGGAUGAACGCUAGCGACAGGCUUAACACAUGCAAGUCGAGGGGCAGCGGGGCAGCAAUGCCGCCGGCGACCGGCGCACGGGUGCGUAACGCGUAUGUAACCUGCCUGACACAGAGGGACAGCUCUCCGAAAGGGGAAUUAAUCCGUCAUAACACAAUAGGAUUGCAUGAUUUUAUUGUCAAACAUUUAUGGGUGUCGGAUGGGCAUGCGUGACAUUAGCUUGAUGGUAAGGUAACGGCUUACCAUUGCUACGAUGUCUAGGGGUUCUGAGAGGAAGAUCCCCCACACCGGAACUGAGACACGGUCCGGACUCCUACGGGAGGCAGCAGUGAGGAAUAUUGGUCAAUGGGCGAGAGCCUGAACCAGCCAUGUCGCGUGCGGGACGAAGGCCCUACGGGUCGUAAACCGCUUUUAUACGGGAAGAAAAGGUUUCAUGCGUGGGACAUUGCCAGUACCGUAUGAAUAAGCAUCGGCUAACUCCGUGCCAGCAGCCGCGGUAAUACGGAGGAUGCGAGCGUUAUCCGGAUUUAUUGGGUUUAAAGGGUGCGCAGGCGGGACAUUCAGUCAGGGGUGAAAUACUUGGGCUCAACCGAAGCAUUGCCCUUGAAACUAGUGUUCUUGAGUCUGAUGGAGGCAUGCGGAAUGCGACGUGUAGCGGUGAAAUGCAUAGAUAUGUCGCAGAACGCCAAUUGCGAAGGCAGCGUGCCGUGUUAAGACUGACGCUGAGGCACGAAAGCGCGGGUAUCAAACAGGAUUAGAUACCCUGGUAGUCCGCGCUGUAAACGAUGAUUACUGGNUUGUUCACAUAACUUGUGAGUGACUGAGCUAAAGCAUUAAGUAAUCCACCUGGGGNGNUACGUCGGCAACGAUGAAACUCAAAGGAAUUGACGGGGGCCCGCACAAGCGGAGGAACAUGUGGUUUAAUUCGAUGAUACGCGAGGAACCUUACCCGGGUUUGAACGACAGAUGAAUACAGGAGAAAUUUUGUAGUCGCAAGACAUUUGUCGAGGUGCUGCAUGGUUGUCGUCAGCUCGUGCCGUGAGGUGUCGGGUUAAGUCCCAUAACGAGCGCAACCCCUGCCGACAGUUGCUAUCAGGUAAAGCUGGGGACUCUGUCGGGACUGCCGGUGUAAACCGCGAGGAAGGCGGGGAUGACGUCAAAUCAGCACGGCCCUUACAUCCGGGGCUACACACGUGUUACAAUGGACGGUACAGAGGGCAGCCACCCUGCGAAGGGGCGCGAAUCCUCAAAGCCGUUCUUAGUUCGGAUCGGAGUCUGCAACCCGACUCCGUGAAGCCGGAUUCGCUAGUAAUCGCGCAUCAGCCACGGCGCGGUGAAUACGUUCCCGGGCCUUGUACACACCGCCCGUCAAGCCAUGGAAGCCGAGGGUACCUGAAGUAUGUAACCGCAAGGAGCGUCCUAGGGUAAAAUCGGUGACUGGGGCUAAGUCGUAACAAGGUAGCCGUA
rnacentral:rRNA from 1 species